CCUACGGGCGGCAGCAGUCGAGAAUCAUUCACAAUGGGGGAAACCCUGAUGGUGCGACGCCGCGUGGGGGAAUGAAGGUCUUCGGAUUGUAAACCCCUGUCAUGUGGGAGCAAAUUAAAAAGAUAGUACCACAAGAGGAAGAGACGGCUAACUCUGUGCCAGCAGCCGCGGUAAUACAGAGGUCUCAAGCGUUGUUCGGAAUCACUGGGCGUAAAGCGUGCGUAGGCUGUUUCGUAAGUCGUGUGUGAAAGGCGGGGGCUCAACCCGCGGACGGCACAUGAUACUGCGAGACUAGAGUAAUGGAGGGGGAACCGGAAUUCUCGGUGUAGCAGUGAAAUGCGUAGAUAUCGAGAGGAACACUCGUGGCGAAGGCGGGUUCCUGGACAUUAACUGACGCUGAGGCACGAAGGCCAGGGGAGCGAAAGGGAUUAGAUACCCUUGUAGUC
rnacentral:rRNA from 1 species